rnacentral:rRNA from 1 species
CUACGGGCCGCACCAGUGGGGAAUCUUAGACAAUGGGCGCAAGCCUGAUCUAGCCAUGCCGCGUGAGUGACGAAGGCCUUAGGGUCGUAAAGCUCUUUCGCUGGGGAAGAUAAUGACGGUACCCAGUAAAGAAACCCCGGCUAACUCCGUGCCAGCAGCCGCGGUAAUACGGAGGGGGUUAGCGUUGUUCGGAAUUACUGGGCGUAAAGCGCGCGUAGGCGGAUCAGAAAGUUGGGGGUGAAAUCCCGGGGCUCAACCCCGGAACUGCCUUCAAAACUCCUGGUCUUGAGUUCGAGAGAGGGGAGUGGAAUUCCGAGUGUAGAGGUGAAAUUCGUAGAUAUUCGGAGGAACACCAGUGGCGAAGGCGGCUCACUGGCUCGAUACUGACGCUGAGGUGCGAAAGCGUGGGGAGCAAACAGGAUUAGAUACCCUUGUAGUC